UCCGAAGGGGGCUAUCGUUGUUCGGAUUUACUGGGCGUAAAGGGCGCGUAGGCGGAUUUUUAAGUCGGGGGUGAAAUCCCGGAGCUCAACUCCGGAACUGCCUUCGAUACUGAAAGUCUGGAGCACGGUAGAGGUGAGUGGAAUUCCGAGUGUAGAGGUGAAAUUCGUAGAUAUUCGGAGGAACACCAGUGGCGAAGGCGGCUCACUGGACCGUUGCUGACGCUGAGGCGCGAAAGCGUGGGGAGAAAACAGG
rnacentral:rRNA from 1 species